rnacentral:rRNA from 1 species
UUAUUGGAGAGUUUGAUCCUGGCUCGAUGAAGUGGCGGCCUGCCUUAAUACAUGCAAGUCGAGCGAAUGGAUUAAGAGCUUGCUCUUAUGAAGGUUAGCGGCGGACGGGUGAGUAACACGUGGGUAACCUGCCCAUAAGACUGGGAUAACUCCGGGAAACCGGGGCUAAUACCGGAUAACAUUUUGAACCGCAUGGUUCGAAAUUGAAAGGCGGCUUCGGCUGUCACUUAUGGAUGGACCCGCGUCGCAUUAGCUAGUUGGUGAGGUAACGGCUCACCAAGGCAACGAUGCGUAGCCGACCUGAGAGGGUGAUCGGCCACACUGGGACUGAGACACGGCCCAGACUCCUACGGGAGGCAGCAGUAGGGAAUCUUCCCCAAUGGACGAAAGUCUGACGGAGCAACGCCGCGUGAGUGAUGAAGGCUUUCGGGUCGUAAAACUCUGUUGUUAGGGAAGAACAAGUGCUAGUUGAAUAAGCUGGCACCUUGACGGUACCUAACCAGAAAGCCACGGCUAACUACGUGCCAGCAGCCGCGGUAAUACGUAGGUGGCAAGCGUUAUCCGGAAUUAUUGGGCGUAAAGCGCGCGCAGGUGGUUUCUUAAGUCUGAUGUGAAAGCCCACGGCUCAACCGUGGAGGGUCAUUAAAAAGUGCAAAGCCCGGAAGGGGAAGUUAUUUUAAUAAAAUUCCAUGUGUAGCGGUGAAAUGCGUUUCCAAUUGCCUUCCAGGGAAGCGGGAUUCGUUGUUAUUGGCGGGGGUCACACCUAGGCCCGGGGAAAUUGGGACUUUCCCGGCCUUGGUCCCCCGUCCCCGGCCCCAAAGCCCGGGGAGCAAACAGUUAGAGGGUUUCCGCCCUUUAGUGCUGAAGUUAACGCAUUAAGCACUCCGCCUGGGGAGUACGGCCGCAAGGCUGAAACUCAAAGGAAUUGACGGGGGCCCGCACAAGCCGGGGAGCAUGUGGUUUAAUUCGAAGCAACGCGAAGAACCUUACCAGGUCUUGACAUCCUCUGAAAACCCUAGAGAUAGGGCUUCUCCUUUCGGAGCAGAGUGACAGGUGGUGCAUGGUUGUCGUCAGCUCGUGUCGUGAGAUGUUGGGUUAAGUCCCGCAACGAGCGCAACCCUUGAUCUUAGUUGCCAUCAUUAAGUUGGGCACCUCUAGGUGACUGCCGGUGACAAACCGGAGGAAGGUGGGGAUGACGUCAAAUCAUCAUGCCCCUUAUGACCUGGGCUACACACGUGCUACAAUGGACGGUACAAAGAGCUGCAAGACCGCGAGGUGGAGCUAAUCUCAUAAAACCGUUCUCAGUUCGGAUUGUAGGCUGCAACUCGCCUACAUGAAGCUGGAAUCGCUAGUAAUCGCGGAUCAGCAUGCCGCGGGCGGGUGAAAUACGUUCCCGGGGCCUUGUACACACCGCCCGGUCACACCACGAAGAGUUUGUAACACCCGAAAGUCGGUGGGGGUAACCUUUUUGGAACCCAGCCCGCCUAAGGUGGGAACAAAUGAUUGGGGUGAGUUACACAAGGGGGGGGGGCCACACACAAGGGGGGUGUUCUAAGAAGAG